rnacentral:rRNA from 1 species
UUGUCCUACGGGGGGCAGCAGUCGGGAAUAUUGCACAAUGGAGGGAACUCUGAUGCAGUGACGCCGCGUGCAGGAAGAAGGUUUUCGGAUUGUAAACUGCUUUAGAUAGGGAAGAAGAAAAGACAGUACCUAUAGAAUAAGCUCCGGCUAACUACGUGCCAGCAGCCGCGGUAAUACGUAGGGGGCAAGCGUUAUCCGGAUUUACUGGGUGUAAAGGGAGCGUAGACGGCGAUGCAAGUCUGAAGUGAAAGGCGGGGGCCCAACCCCCGGACUGCUUUGGAAACUGUAUGGCUGGAGUGCAGGAG